UCUUUGCUAGUAUAUCGGUUAGUACACGCGCCUGUCAUUCUUAGAGCGGCCGCGCGAAAGCUGGGUUCGACUCCCAGGCAGAGAG